CAGCCUGGGAUUUAAUUUGUGUCAGCAUCCAAUAUCUAAAUAGAGAAUAUUUGUAUCAUCAGACCAAGCACCUGAGUUCAGGAGAAUAAAAUAAUAAUAAUGACCCUGAACUGGAACAGCUUUACAUUGAAGCGUUUAACAGAACGUGCCUUCUGUCAGAGUUCAGACGACCUCGCUUAGUGGGACGAACAUUCCCUGAAAUAACGUUUAAUGAGCUGCAGAAGUGCUUCUGAAAGCUCGUUUUGAACAUGGGGUUUGUCGUGCGGAUAACGUUUCCAAAAGUCCCAGCUGCCCGACAAGGGGACGGCACCUCGCCCUCGCAGUUACGCGUGUAAAGCCUCGGCACAGGGGCUCAGGGACAAGCUCCAGGUGACUUUCCACACUGCAUGCAAAGCGCGGAGGGGUUCAGCCUUCUCCCAGCAUCAGCACUAACGCUAGCGAUUCUCGCCAAGACAAGUUUCUAAGGCCGUGACGGUCAGCAGAAAAAGCAGCUGUGAGCAGAACCCAAUUGUUUUCAUUUUGGGGGGG